rnacentral:rRNA from 1 species
UACGAAGGGGGCUAGCGUUGCUCGGAAUCACUGGGCGUAAAGGGUGCGUAGGCGGGUCUUUAAGUCAGGGGUGAAAUCCUGGAGCUCAACUCCAGAACUGCCUUUGAUACUGAAGAUCUUGAGUCCGGGAGAGGUGAGUGGAACUGCGAGUGUAGAGGUGAAAUUCGUAGAUAUUCGCAAGAACACCAGUGGCGAAGGCGGCUCACUGGCCCGGUACUGACGCUAAAGCGCGACAGCAUGGGGAGCAAACGGG